UUACAACUUACAACUUACACGUUACGGUCGGUUCGGUUUCGUUCGUUACCCUGACUGAUGUCAUACCCACGAAAACGAGAGUGUUGCCACUGGUGGUAAAUUUCCCUUUCUGCGAGAAUUUUCAACAUAAAAGGGAAAAAGUUAACUUAAUAAGGGAAUCUCUUUGCUCCAGUCCAAAUUGUAAAAUAUUUAUAAAAAUCAAAAUAUUUGAAAAUAAUUCAACAUAUUUUCACAGAUUUUUUAAAUAGGAGCAUAGGAGGGAAUUUUAUCAUAAAAGUGGGAAUUUUUAAGGUAGGUUGAGGGGAAAAAGCUUACUCGACAGCUGGCAACACGGGAAAAGUGACCUGCCAUUGCCAUCCUGCCAAGCGGUGAUAAUUUGUGGUUAGGUAUAUCCUAUCCUAUGUUGAUAUUUUUCUUUGAUUUUUUUACAUUUACCGUACAAUUCUCCGAGAUUAUUACUUUAAUUACUAAGCUGAAGCUUGUUUUCUUCAGUUUUUCAUAGACCCACCUGCUUGUGGUGAUUAGGAUUAGGUACAGAUUGGUAUUCUUUUUGCUUUGGUGAAAUUGAGAGCUGAGACAAAACUGAGCAUCGGAAUCUGAAGCUAGCGCUAGCGGGUUUAAUGUAAGUUCCAAUAAAUAAUUUUAGACAAUAGAUUGUAUUUUAGUUGAGUGAUUACUGAAUAAAUAGUUAUAUAAAAUGGUA